rnacentral:tRNA from 1 species
UUAAUUGAAGCCAAAUAGAGGCUUUCCAUUGUUAAUGGAAGAAAUGAUAUUAAAUCCAAUUAAA